AUAGAGAGCUAAACCAUUGCAAUUUGGUGCUCGAAGGUUUCCCCUUCCGAAGGUGAAAGUACACGACAGUUAGUUCAAAAAAUACAAUGAGUCGAAGAUCCGAUAGUCCGGAGCCGGAUUCGAUGUUGAACUUAGCACCCGCUAGGGUGGCUAACCACCGUGUUAGGUCGCCAAGCGUAUCGGUUCCUUCCUUUGAAUCAUUGUCAGAAAGCUCGUGUCUAUCUUCCGAGCCCGACAACAAUAACUGCGAGGAUUCGACGUCGAUGACGGAAUACCCGACUGGUCGUCCGGAAGUAACAUCGAUGUUGCUGGUCGGGUGUCCUCGAUGCUUCAUGUACGUUAUGCUGUCCGAGGUCGAUCCCAAGUGCCCUCGAUGUAAGAGUACCGUGUUCCUUGAUUUUCUUAACGAAGAGAACGCCAAAUGGACAAAGAACUAAUCAGAAAGAAAGUGUAAGAUUCUAAGUGCAAGAUUCUUACUUUCUUUUUAUUUCUCGUUUAUGUAAUGAUACUGAAACUCGAAAUUGAAUAAAGUUUGUAAAAAUUAAAAUUUAAA